rnacentral:rRNA from 1 species
GACGAACGCUGGCGGCGUGCUUAACACAUGCAAGUCGAACGAAGAGCGAUGGAAGCUUGCUUCUAUCAAUCUUAGUGGCGAACGGGUGAGUAAUGCGUAAUCAACCUGCCCUUCAGAGGGGGACAACAGUUGGAAACGACUGCUAAUACCGCAUACGAUCUAAUCUCGGCAUCGAGGAUAGAUGAAAGGUGGCCUCUACAUGUAAGCUAUCACUGAAGGAGGGGAUUGCGUCUGAUUAGCUAGUUGGAGGGGUAACGGCCCACCAAGGCGAUGAUCAGUAGCCGGUCUGAGAGGAUGAACGGCCACAUUGGGACUGAGACACGGCCCAGACUCCUACGGGAGGCAGCAGUGGGGAAUCUUCCGCAAUGGACGAAAGUCUGACGGAGCAACGCCGCGUGAGUGAUGACGGCCUUCGGGUUGUAAAGCUCUGUUAAUCGGGACGAAAGGCCUUCUUGCGAAUAGUGAGAAGGAUUGACGGUACCGGAAUAGAAAGCCACGGCUAACUACGUG